rnacentral:rRNA from 1 species
AGAGUUUGAUCCUGGCUCAGAUUGAACGCUGGCGGCAGGCUUAACACAUGCAAGUCGAGCGGGGGAGGUUGCUUCGGUAACUGACCUAGCGGCGGACGGGUGAGUAAUACUUAGGAAUCUGCCUAUUAAUGGGGGACAACAUCUCGAAAGGGAUGCUAAUACCGCAUACGCCCUACGGGGGAAAGCAGGGGAUCACUUGUGACCUUGCGUUAAUAGAUGAGCCUAAGUCGGAUUAGCUAGUUGGUGGGGUAAAGGCCUACCAAGGCGACGAUCUGUAGCGGGUCUGAGAGGAUGAUCCGCCACACUGGGACUGAGACACGGCCCAGACUCCUACGGGAGGCAGCAGUGGGGAAUAUUGGACAAUGGGGGGAACCCUGAUCCAGCCAUGCC